rnacentral:misc_RNA from 1 species
UUAAGUUCAGCGGGUAUCCCUACCUGAUCCGAGGUCAAACUUGGGACAUGGUUUGGGGGUUUAUUAUGGCUGCGCAUUCCGGCCUCCAAUCGCGAACGACGUUUUUAUCACGCUCUUGCCAAGCCGGAAUAUCCGCCACUGCAUUCGAGGCUGAGGGUUCUGAUGCCUCGUGCCCAAGACCAAGCUUGGGGUUUUACGAA